CCUUAUUUCAGGAAAGGAAUGUAUGACAUGAAUGCUUCAAGAAGUAAAUUUGAAGUUUUUAACCCUGAAAUCGCAGUACAUUUGAAGUUUUGCGUCGUAAUAAUGAGUGCGACUGUUGGAGGACUAAAGAUGUGAACGCCAGGCCAAAAUGAGGCGGCCAAAAUGACAAGGAUUAGAUCAUAUUCAAGUGUUGGAUCAUUUAGUUAGGAAUUCUGAUUCAAAAUACAAAGCAGCUUGACCAACUGAACAAGUUAGGCGGUACAAUUAACGGCGAUAUUUACUGCUGUAUUAAUUAAA